GGCGGCGGCGGCUCUACUCACCUUCACCGAGAACCCAGCAGCUGCCGCCGCAGCUGCCUCCUCAGGAUCCGGUCGUCGGGGACAGGGAAGGGAGGGGAGAGGGGAACGGAAAACAAAAAAGGGGGAGGGAAGGGGGAGGAAGGAGUCGGAACGGCUUGGAAACGCUCAGCUCAGAGGAGUCGCUGCUGCAGCCACCACCCGGUACUCGCCGCCACCUCCAUAGAGCUCCAACUCACUGCUGGCGCUGAGGCGUGUCUGAAGCCGAACUUAUCACUCUGGGGCAGCCGAACCCACCAGAGCCGCCCCGAAUGGCUCCUUCGUCGCCCAAUCAGCAGCCUGACUGCUGUCUGCCACCAAUCCGCGCAGGGCGGCGGGGAGGAGCCACAGGGCCAAGCUCGGUUGCAGCGCAGCCCCGCCGCAGUGCGCAAAGCCAUAUUCGCGAAGGCUCUGAGGCCAAGCUGGUGGCGUAAGGGGAGCUGAGCACUGUCGAGUUGCGGGCCACUUGCGUAAAGUCGGAGAGCCCUUCUGAGUCUGCGAGAAGCAGCUUUUCCCGAAGGAAUGUCCGGCCAGCGGUCACGGAGGAAUACCCAGACCAUACCAGACUUCUUUGGAAGAAGUGUUUGCGGAGCGCGGGCAUUUGGAGGAUUUUAAUUGAUAGCUGCUGGUUUUUGUUUUUGGGGUUUUGUUUUUAAGCGCGUUGAAGACUGUCAGCUGUGUAUUUCCAUUUUAUGUAAGGUCCACCAUAACAAAAUAGGAUUAGGCUUUUCAAAGCCAGCAGAUGAACUAUUUUUACUCCUCAGGUAAUAUUUUAAAGGAGGGCUACCUUAAAAUGAAGUGUUCCAUCGUUUGCGACAUUUUAGCUACAUAAAAAUGGAGUCCCGGCUAUACAAAAAUGGAGUCAUAUUUCCAUAUACUUAGCAGAAAUUUCCCCAUCUUCAUUUUGAACAUGCAGUUCUUGAUACAUUGUGUAUCAAAAGCAAGAAACUGUUUUAACAUGCAUAUCUUUUAAAGCAAGUGUCCAAUAAAGGGCUGGAUUUUCAAA